GCAAGUCGAGCGGUAGAAUAAUUUAGCUUGCUAAGUUAUUUGAGAGCGGCGAACGGGUGAGUAACACGUUGGUAUCUGCCCCCAAGUCAGGGAUAGCCAUUGGAAACGAUGAUUAAUACCGGAUAGUCUCUUCGGAGUAAAGAUUUAUUGCUUGGGGAGGAACCUGCGUUCUAUCAGCUUGUUGGUGAGGUAAAAGCUCACCAAGGCUAUGACGGAUACCUGGUCUGAGAGGAUGAUC
rnacentral:rRNA from 1 species